rnacentral:rRNA from 1 species
GACGAGGGGUCCAAGCGUUGUUCGGAAUCAUUGGGCGUAAAGCGGGUGUAGGCGGCUCUAUAAGUCAGGAGUGAAAUCCCCGAGCUUAACUUGGGAAGUGCUUUUGAUACUGCAGAGCUUGAAUGUGGGAGAGGUUAGUGGAAUUCCAAGUGUAGUGGUGAAAUACGUAGAUAUUUGGAGGAACACCGGUGGCGAAGGCGGCUAACUGGCCCAACAUUGACGCUGAGACCCGAAAGCAUGGGGAUCAAACAGGG